rnacentral:hammerhead_ribozyme from 1 species
GCACUGCUGAGGAGUCCCAUAAUAGGACGAACCGGCCGUCCAGUGA